CAAGUGAUGGCGACGGCUUCAUGAGGUGGGAAUUAGGCUGCUAUGCAAUAGACCAUAAGAGUGCCUUCAGUAUCUCAAUACAAUUGAUUUUAUUUUGUGUGUAUUAAAAGGUCCAUCCCGACACCGGCAUCUCCAGUAGGGCAAUGAGCGUGACGAAUUCCUUUGGCUGCAACCUGGUCUUAGAGCAUUACGUUUUAUUCUGUAUGUAAAUCCGGGAAUCAUUUAUAGUAGAAUGUAAUGUUACAUUUCGUAUGGUAUGUAUUCAUUUGUCGAUGUUCAUCAUCCAUUUCGUAUCAUAUGUUACAAAUUACGAUUUGUUGCAUGUUACGAAUUUGCGAAACGUACAAUAUGUUAUCAAUUAUCAAAAUGAUUUUUACCAAUUCCAAUUUAUUGUGGUUAAUAUUAGCUAGGUGGCUAAUGUUAGCUAGCUGCCUAACGUUAGCUAGGCUAGGAGUUAAGGUUAGGAAUUAGGUUCAAAGGUUAGGGGAAGUGUUAGCUAAUAUGCUAAGUAGUUGUGAAAUAACUGAAAAAGUAGUAAGUAGCUGAAAAGCUGCUAAAGUUGGCCAUGAUGGGAUUCGCACACACAACCUUUGAUGUUGGUGUUAUAACCAUACCAAACGUAUACCAAAUCAUACUAAUUUGAGUUUGCAAAUUUACAUUUACUAUGUUACGUCUAGUGUGUGACAUCAGGCUGUUGUCAAAGACCUGUUUUAGCACAUUGCAACUGAAGCAUCUUGUCUGACCCAGUACAACAAGCGCUCAACCAUCACCUGCUGAGAGGUACAGACCACAGUCCGACUUCCUAGAGCUGGCCAAGCACGCCGUGUCGAUGGGACCAACGUCGUCACCAAAUGCAACAGUUUUAAAGUGUAAAAGAAACUAAAGUACAUCAAGCGCCACAAAAACACAAUUUAGGCUAUACAACAUGCAGGUUUGCAACCAGGGAUGCACCACUGACUAAUAUUGAGGUUGACUCAUCUCUUUGCCACCAUGGCCUAUUUAUUGCCUGUAUAUAGACUUUUUCUACUGUAUUAUUGACCGUAUGUUUGUUUAUUCCAUGUGUAGCUCUAUGUUGUAUGUGUCAAACUGCAUUGCUUUAUCUUGGCCAGGUCGCAGUCGUAAAUGAGGAUUUUUUUCUUAACUAGCCCACCUGGUUAAAGGUGAAAUAAAAAAA
ensembl:lncRNA